rfam:Streptococcus equi subsp. zooepidemicus H70, complete genome
AUGCGAUGAGUCGAUUGUGAUUUUUAAAUCACAGUUGUGCUGGGGAGGUCAUUAAGGCAGGAGCCGACUUUGAUAAUUUGUGUGAACCUUUUUAUCACAUUCGUGACACGAAUGCCCCUGAGAGCUGAGAGUUUUUCUCAGCUUUUUUA